rnacentral:rRNA from 1 species
CCUACGGGGGGCAGCAGUGAGGAAUAUUGGUCAAUGGCCGAGAGUCUGAACCAGCCAAGUAGCGUGAAGGAUGACUGCCCUAUGGGUUGUAAACUUCUUUUAUAUGGGAAUAAAAUGUUCCACGUGUGGGAUUUUGUAUGUACCAUAUGAAUAAGGAUCGGCUAACUCCGUGCCAGCAGCCGCGGUAAUACGGAGGAUCCGAGCGUUAUCCGGAUUUAUUGGGUUUAAAGGGAGCGUAGGUGGAUAGUUAAGUGAGUUGUGAAAGUUUGCGGCUCAACCGUGAAAGUGCAGCUGAAACUGGCAGUCUUGAGUACAGUAGAGGUGGGCGGAAUCCGUGGUGUAGCGGUGAAAUGCUUAGAUAUCACGAAGAACUCCGAUUGCGAAGGCAGCUCGCUGGACUGCAACUGACACUGAGGCUCGAAAGUGUGGGUAUCAAACAGGAUUAGAUACCCUAGUAGUC